UACGUAGGGUGCAAGCGUUGUCCGGAAUUAUUGGGCGUAAAGAGCUCGUAGGCGGUUUGUCGCGUCUGCUGUGAAAACCCGAGGCUCAACCUCGGGCCUGCAGUGGGUACGGGCAGACUAGAGUGCGGUAGGGGAGAUUGGAAUUCUUGGUGUAGCGGUGGAAUGCGCAGAUAUCAGGAGGAACACCAAUGGCGAAGGCAGAUCUCUGGGCCGUAACUGACGCUGAGGAGCGAAAGCGUGGGGAGCAAACAGG
rnacentral:rRNA from 1 species